GAGUUUGAUCCUGGCUCAGGAUGAACGCUAGCGACAGGCUUAACACAUGCAAGUCGAGGGGCAGCAUGGUUUGUAGCAAUACAGACCGAUGGCGACCGGCGCACGGGUGAGUAACGCGUAUGCAACCUACCCAUCAGAGGGGGAUAACCCGGCGAAAGUCGGACUAAUACCGCAUAAAACAGGGGUUCCGCAUGGGGAUAUUUGUUAAAGAAGCGAUUCGCUGAUGGAUGGGCAUGCGUUCCAUUAGAUAGUUGGCGGGGUAACGGCCCACCAAGUCUGCGAUGGAUAGGGGUUCUGAGAGGAAGGUCCCCCACACUGGUACUGAGACACGGACCAGACUCCUACGGGAGGCAGCAGUGAGGAAUAUUGGUCAAUGGGCGGGAGCCUGAACCAGCCAAGUCGCGUGAAGGAUGAAGGAUCUAUGGUUUGUAAACUUCUUUUAUACGGGAAUAAAGUGCACCACGUGUGGUGUUUUGUAUGUACCGUAUGAAUAAGCAUCGGCUAACUCCGUGCCAGCAGCCGCGGUAAUACGUAGGUGGCAAGCGUUGUCCGGAAUUACUGGGUGUAAAGGGAGCGCAGGCGGGAAGCCAAGUCAGCUGUGAAAACUACGGGCUUAACCUGUAGACUGCAGUUGAAACUGGUUUUCUUGAGUGAAGUAGAGGUUGGCGGAAUUCCGAGUGUAGCAGUGAAAUGCGUAGAUAUUCGGAGGAACACCGGUGGCGAAGGCGGCCAACUGGGCUUUAACUGACGCUGAGCUCGAAAGUGUGGGGAGCAAACAGGAUUAGAUACCCUGGUAGUCCACACUGUAAACGAUGAUAACUAGGUGUGGGGGGUCUGACCCCUUCCGUGCCGCAGCUAACGCAAUAAGUUAUCCACCUGGGGAGUACGACCGCAAGGUUGAAACUCAAAGGAAUUGACGGGGGCCCGCACAAGCGGAGGAACAUGUGGUUUAAUUCGAUGAUACGCGAGGAACCUUACCCGGGCUCGAACGGUACAGGAACAGGGGAGAGAUUCCCUGGCCACUCGUGGCCUGUAUCGAGGUGCUGCAUGGUUGUCGUCAGCUCGUGUUGUGAAAUGUUGGGUUAAGUCCCGCAACGAGCGCAACCCUUAUCCUUUGUUGCCAGCGGUCCGGCCGGGAACUCAAAGGAGACUGCCAGUGAUAAACUGGAGGAAGGUGGGGAUGACGUCAAGUCAUCAUGGCCCUUACGACCAGGGCUACACACGUGCUACAAUGGCGCAUACAAAGAGAAGCGACCUCGCGAGAGUAAGCGGACCUCAUAAAGUGCGUCGUAGUCCGGAUUGGAGUCUGCAACUCGACUCCAUGAAGUCGGAAUCGCUAGUAAUCGUGGAUCAGAAUGCCACGGUGAAUACGUUCCCGGGCCUUGUACACACCGCCCGUCACACCAUGGGAGUGGGUUGCAAAAGAAGUAGGUAGCUUAACCUUCGGGAGGGCGCUUACCACUUUGUGAUUCAUGACUGGGGUGAAGUCGUAACAAGGUAACCA
rnacentral:rRNA from 1 species